rnacentral:rRNA from 1 species
GACGAACGCUGGCGGCGUGCCUAAUGCAUGCAAGUCGAGCGGGCUACGAUCUUCGGAUUGUAGCUUAGCGGCGAACGGGUGAGUAACACGUAGGUAAUCUACCCUUCAGAGGAGGACAACCUCAGGAAACUGAGGCUAAACCUUCAUACGUUCACUGGUAGGGAUACUGGUGAAGAAAGAGUUACCUUAGUGGUAGCUGCUGAAGGAUGAGCCUGCGGCCCAUCAGGUAGUUGGUGAGGUAACGGCUCACCAAGCCGAAGACGGGUAACCGGUCUGAGAGGAUGUCCGGUCACACUGGGACUGAGACACGGCCCAGACUCCUACGGGAGGCAGCAGCAGGGAAUCUUGGGCAAUGGGCGAAAGCCUGACCCAGCGACGCCGCGUGGAGGAAGAAGUCCUUCGGGGCGUAAACUCCUGGACUGGGGGACGAGGAAGGACGGUACCCCAGUAGAAAGGGACGGCUAACUACGUGCCAGCAGCCGCGGUAAAACGUAGGUCCCGAGCGUUGUUCGGAUUCACUGGGUGUAAAGGGCGCGUAGGUGGUUGUCUGUGUCUCAUGUGAAAACUCAGGGCUCAACUCUGAGAUUGCGUGGGAAACUAGGCAGCUAGAGGACGGUAGAGGGGAGUGGAAUUCCCGGUGUAGCGGUAAAAUGCGUAGAUAUCGGGAGGAACACCAGUAGCGAAGGCGGCUACCUGGCUGAUAACUGACGCUGAGGUGCGAGAGCGUGGGGAGCAAACA